UUGUUUUUUUUUUGGAAAGCCCAAAAGCAAAACGUCCCUUCCUUCAGGUGUGUAUAUAAGUUACUGUACUGUGUGGGAGGGUCACGAUCUCACUAGGUGCAGAAGAUUCCCCAGGAUUAACCCCUCCUCUCCCUACCCCUUCUGCAACUUGUUGAGGAUUUUAUACACACACGCGCGCAGGCACGGGCACACGGGCACACACACGCGCACACACACACACGGACGGGAGAGCAAGGAGAAAGCGAGCUCCGCGGAGUCCGGCUGCCCCCCGACGCCGUUGUGAUUGGAUGGUCUUUUCAUGGAGAGGGGACGUCUCAAGUCGAAGUCACGAUUUCUCCUCAGUUUGGAACCAUCUGUGACUGGAGCCAUGACGCAGCCAGAGCACAUUACUCACUUUUACAGUCACGACUUGGAAAUCCGUGCAGUUUCCAACCAAAAUUACACCGCCACCAUUGAAUUAUUUAAUAGGAUCCAGUUAAGGAUUAGAGCCAUUGCAUGCGGUCUUGGCCAGGAGGUGCUCUCACCCCAGCCCCGUGUACUGUGCUAUACUGAUGUUCAUGGCUGCAUCAUGCCAUUGUCUGCAGGAUCCGCAAUUGUUGCUGGGCUUUGUGUGGUCUCAGUCUGCGGCUAAGCCCCCUUCCACGGCGGUUUCGGAGGGGAUACCAUUGUCCGGGAUAACGCGGUGGUGCAUGUGAGUGCCAGACGGUGUUUCCUUGUCUGUUUCAAUGCAAUCUGAUGACAUGCCUUUGCUAGCCGGAAUGCCUGCGAACCUGCAUGCUCGUAGCCUAGCGAGAACUUCCCUGGCUCUCAGAAGCGGUGAGGGGGUGACGGGUGGUUGCAGCACAGAGGUAACCCCACAUAGCUACUCCGUAUACACCACAACAAUCCCCUACUACUUCGCCUCUAGUUCAGUCAUUUCACCAACUCCGCUGGUGAGGGUAUGACUAAGGACGCGAAGGACGGGCAAUAAUAAAAACAGACGCUCGCACACGCGAUCUGCAGAAAGUGUGAGCACUUAGAGGGGAAAAAUGAGGUGGGAGGAGAAGGGGUGAGUCCAAAUAAAGCAACCUAUAGCCUCUUAUUUUGCGGAGCACCAUCAUCAGGUACAGGCUCUUUCAAACGCACGGGCGGGAAGGGCAGGCGGCGCCGGGCGGAGGAGGGCGGCGGGGAAGCCGCCGGGGGAGCGGCGCUGCGGGCGGCGCAGCGCGGCCCCCGCCCGGCGGGCACCGGGGCCGGCACCGACUCCCGCCCGUGGCGGGAGCGGCGGCGGAGGAGCGGCGGCGGGUUCAGCACCGGGGCGCGGACAGCUCCCGGCGGCCGCCCUGCGGGGAGCGGCCGGCCUGCGCCCCCGGCCCCGCCGCCGGCUCUGCCUCUCCCCCCGCGGAGGGCGAAAAUAGAGGGGGGGGCGGGCAGGGAGAGGGGCUCAACAGCGCCGACAGAGAGAGAGAGAGAGUUGCAGCUCGCUAUUGAUUCAGAGAUUUACCGACAGGGUGAUUCCCCUUUCUGCAAGAAUUCCCUCUGUCUGAGCUCCGGGCAUGCACCAAAUUCAUUAUGUAGACGAGUAUAACCCUCUCGCUUUAGAGGAAAAGUAGAAAAGAAGGAAAAAACAAUCCAGGCAUGCAUAAAAUAAAGACAAGACUCACAGCCACUCUCUGUAUCAUGCACAGGAAAGAUCACUACUUACCCAAACGGGAACUCCUCGG